rnacentral:lncRNA from 1 species
CAACUCAACUAGUCGCAAGAAGAAAGGCUGGGUAGGAUCGUAAACUCAUCUGCGAACACCUAACUGCUGAGGUUGGUUCCGAGCCUUAGAUGGGAAUUCUCGGGCUUCUCUUGACCUGUGAAGAAAAGCUUUUUCAGGUGUUAAAAAAAGUAUUGUAGGAUAAUCGGCAUCUGUCCCUCGAGAAAGAGUAAGAUAGGCAAAAAGGCAUAGAGACAACAGCGGUAAUGCCGCAUCUCUCGAUGAGAAUGAAUCCUGGAAAAAAGAGCAAAGAAAAGCCUUUCUUCUUCUGCCUUCUGACUCUAUCUUGCCCUUUCUU